rnacentral:rRNA from 1 species
AACGUAGGAGGCGAGCGUUAUCCGGAGUUACUGGGCGUAAAGCGCGUGUAGGCGGUUCGAUAAGUCCGCUGUGAAAGUCAACGGCUCAACUGUUGGAUGCCGGUGGAUACUGUCGGGCUAGAGUACGGAAGAGGCAAGUGGAAUUCCUGGUGUAGCGGUGGAAUGCGCAGAUAUCAGGAGGAACACCGGUGGCGAAGGCGGGUCUCUGGGCCGAAACUGACGCUGAGGAGCGAAAGCUAGGGGAGCAAACGGG